rnacentral:rRNA from 1 species
AAAGGGUCCGUAGGCGGAUCUGUAAGUCAGUGGUGAAAUCUCAUAGCUUAACUAUGAAACUGCCAUUGAUACUGCAGGUCUUGAGUAAAGUAGAAGUGGCUGGAAUAAGUAGUGUAGCGGUGAAAUGCAUAGAUAUUACUUAGAACACCAAUUGCGAAGGCAGGUCACUAUGUUUUAACUGACGCUGAUGGACGAAAGCGUGGGGAGCGAACAGGAUUAGAUACCCUUGU